AUAUACACAACCCCAUUCUACAUCCAUACAUACCUGCAGUACAGCAAGUGCUUAGACAAGCUGAAACUAACGAGAACCUCUUGAGCUAUAAUGACAGCCUCUCUGCUCUGCUGACCACUGAUUUUGCUCAGUGUGUUUUUGUGUGUACCUGUGAACUUCACUGCAGCUUCCAGCACACCUGUAGCUAGUAGCGAUGACAGUGCUGACACAGAAACGCUAUAAGCAAUCCCCUCUAUAAAAAACUCUGCAGGAACACUGUUCCCUCCCGACUUUUACUCCAAGCACAGCAUUGCUGUACCCUAAAUCACCAGAUAUGCAAAGAUAAAGAAGACUGAUGAAAAAAAACAUCAAAAGAAACAAACAAAGUUGUGAGAAAACACAUCGUUGGCUUUUGAUGACUGGAAAAACAUCUAACUUUUGAAGGGGUUGAAAAGUGAUGCACAGCUAGCCUUAAUACUCCACAAGCCUGCAGAGGAAUAGCCAUAGUGACGAUCAUUGGUGAUAUACAUCUACGUGGUGCCCAGAGAGCUGACCUUGGGAAGCAACCUCAGUGUGCGGGACGUCUGUAUCUGAUGGUUUGGCUAGGUAAACUGCAGUGGAAAGGGCUUCUCCUCUUUCUUUUCCGGAUGGGAGCACCAGAUGUCCUCAUCAUCCACUGUCCACUGCAUCAGCUUCCUCCAGCACCCUGGCAAGAAGAUGAUGUUUUCAUCUGUGACCCAAAGCUGGAAGGCUGGUGCCAAUCUGGUUAAACUUGAUAAGGCGAGAACAUUUGUCAGCA